rfam:Ovis aries breed Texel chromosome 2, whole genome shotgun sequence.
UCCCUGGUGGUCCAGUGGUUAAGACUUGGCCCUUUAACUGCCAAGGUCUCAGGUUCAAUCCUUGGUCAGGGAA